AAUUUGUCCCCACUUAGCAGAUUGGCCAUUAUCCACCACAAACUGGGCAUCUUUCGAGGAUGACAUGGAUCCACCAUUCUUCUUAACAACAAUAUCAACAGAAAGAGCUUGAAACAACGUCCCAUCAUCCAUGUCGACAUCAAUGUACGAAAAUGAAGAGAGAUGACUCCCCAACAUGGCCUGCUCACCACCCACGAUGAC
rnacentral:lncRNA from 1 species